GAGCCGAAGGGAAACCGAGUCUUAACUGGGCGUUAAGUUGCAGGGUAUAGACCCGAAACCCGGUGAUCUAGCCAUGGGCAGGUUGAAGGUUGGGUAACACUAACUGGAGGACCGAACCGACUAAUGUUGAAAAAUUAGCGGAUGACUUGUGGCUGGGGGUGAAAGGCCAAUCAAACCGGGAGAUAGCUGGUUCUCCCCGAAAGCUAUUUAGGUAGCGCCUCGUGAAUUCAUCUCCGGGGGUAGAGCACUGUUUCGGCAAGGGGGUCAUCCCGACUUACCAACCCGAUGCAAACUGCGAAUACCGGAGAAUGUUAUCACGGGAGACACACGGCGGGUGCUAACGUCCGUCGUGAAGAGGGAAACAACCCAGACCGCCAGCUAAGGUCCCAAAGUCAUGGUUAAGUGGGAAACGAUGUGGGAAGGCCCAGACAGCCAGGAUGUUGGCUUAGAAGCAGCCAUCAUUUAAAGAAAGCGUAAUAGCUCACUGGUCGAGUCGGCCUGCGCGGAAGAUGUAACGGGGCUAAACCAUGCACCGAAGCUGCGGCAGCGACACUGUGUGUUGUUGGGUAGGGGAGCGU
rnacentral:rRNA from 1 species